GAUGAACGCUAGCGGCAGGCUUAAUACAUGCAAGUCGAACGGUAAGGUCUCUUCGGAGAUACACGAGUGGCGCACGGGUGCGUAACGCGUAUGCAACCUACCUUUAACUGGGAAAUAGCCCCGAGAAAUCGGGAUUAAUGUCCCAUACUAUUCUUUGAAUACCUAUUCGAGGAAUGAAAGCUCCGGCGGUUAUUGAUGGGCAUGCGUGACAUUAGCUAGUUGGUGAGGUAACGGCUCACCAAGGCAACGAUGUCUAGGGGUCCUGAGAGGGUUAUCCCCCACACUGGUACUGAGACACGGACCAGACUCCUACGGGAGGCAGCAGUAAGGAAUAUUGGGCAAUGGACGCAAGUCUGACCCAGCCAUGCCGCGUGAAGGAUGAAUGUCCUAUGGAUUGUAAACUUCUUUUAUGCAGGGAAAAUAUCCCGGUCGUGAACCGGGACUGAUGGUACUGUAUGAAUAAGCAUCGGCUAACUCCGUGCCAGCCGCCGCCGUAA
rnacentral:rRNA from 1 species